CAAGCUUUGCGGGUGGGAAAGCACUUUUUUCAAGGAGAAAAACAUUGUAGUUAAUACCUGCAAUCCUUGAUGUUACUUACGCAAUAAUGACCGGCUAAUUCCGUGCCAGGACCCGCGAAAAUACGGAAGGUCCACGCGUUAAUCGGAAUUGCUGGGCGUAAAGCGCGCGUAGGUGGUUUUUUAACUUGGAUGUGAAAUCCCUGGGCUCAAACGAGGAACUGCAUCCCAAACUAUAUGACUAGAGUACGAAAGAGGGAAAUAAAAUUCCCAGUGAAGCGGUGGAAUGCCUAGAUGUUGUGAAGAAUACCAAUGGCAAAGGGAACUUCCUGGUUCUGUACUGACACUACCGGGCUAUGUCCUGGGUAGCGAACACGAUUACAUACCCUGGUAAUCCGAUCCGAAAACCAGGACGACUACCUGUUGGGAGACUACAUCUCUCAGUGGCGCAACUAACUCUU
rnacentral:rRNA from 1 species